rnacentral:rRNA from 1 species
AUUGAACGCUGGCGGCAUGCCUUACACAUGCAAGUCGAACGGCAGCACGGGUGCUUGCACCUGGUGGCGAGUGGCGAACGGGUGAGUAAUACAUCGGAACAUGUCCUGUAGUGGGGGAUAGCCCGGCGAAAGCCGGAUUAAUACCGCAUACGAUCUACGGAUGAAAGCGGGGGACCUUCGGGCCUCGCGCUGUAGGGUUGGCCGAUGGCUGAUUAGCUAGUUGGUGGGGUAAAGGCCUACCAAGGCGACGAUCAGUAGCUGGUCUGAGAGGACGACCAGCCACACUGGGACUGAGACACGGCCCAGACUCCUACGGGAGGCAGCAGUGGGGAAUGUUGGACAAUGGGCGAAAGCCUGAUCCAGCAAUGCCGCGUGUGUGAAGAAGGCCUUCGGGUUGUAAAGCACUUUUGUCCGGAAAGAAAUCCUUGGCCCUAAUACGGUCGGGGGAUGACGGUACCGGAAGAAUAAGCACCGGCUAACUACGUG